AGGGUCCCGCUCGGGCUCGGGGCCCUGUGAACCCGGUCAGGUCCGGAAGGAAGCAGCCGCAGCAGAGUUUCGGCUGCGGGUGGGGACGCCCUG
rnacentral:SRP_RNA from 2 species